ACACCGUUUCUCCAGUUUCAGCUUUUUUUCGAACCACUAAUCAAACUCUCUUAUAAACUCUUUAUCAUCAUUAUUAUAAUUCUCCUUUUUAAAUUUUCAUAUUUUUCUUCUGGUAGCUCAAUAAACUUAGCUCCCGCUCUUCCAUCCCACCUCGCAAUUAUUUGUUUAUUUCAAUAAAAGAAAAGAAAAAAAGCUCUAGAAGAAAUGGCUCCCAAGAACAACCGUGGAAAGACAAAAGGAGACAAGAAGAAGAAGGAAGAGAAAGUUCUCCCGGUUAUCGUGGAUGUCAUUGUAAACCUUCCGGAUGAGACGGAGGCUAUUUUGAAGGGCAUAUCAACGGACAGGAUCAUAGAUGUUCGGCGGCUUUUAUCGGUUAACUUUGACACUUGCCACGUCACCAAUUAUUCACUAUCCCAUGAGAUAAGAGGAUCGCGGUUAAAAGACACGGUAGAUGUGUCGGCGCUUAAACCCUGCGUUCUCACGUUAACGGAAGAGGAUUACAAUGAAGGAACAGCAGUGGCGCACGUUAGACGGCUGCUUGACAUCGUCGCCUGCACCACUUGCUUCGGUCCAUCGCCGGAGAAAUCAGACUCCGUGAAAAGUGCGCAGGUUAAGGGAGGUGGAAAGAAUUCCAAACACUCGGAAACAUCGCCUCCGCCGUCUCCUGCGUCGAAGGAUGCGGUGGUUGAUGAAGCCGGAGAAACUAGCCACUCAUUCCCUAAGCUUGGAAGUUUCUACGAGUUGUUCUCUCUCGCUCAUCUCACUCCUCCUCUUCAAUAUAUUCGGCUUGUGACUAAGCGGGAGACCGAAGAUAUAGCGGCGGAAGAUCAUCUUCUCUCCAUUGAUGUGAAGCUUUGUAAUGGAAAGAUCGUUCAUAUUGAAGGUUGCAGAAAAGGAUUUUACAGUAUUGGGAAACAAAGAAUCAUAUGUCACAAUCUUGUUGAUUUGCUUAGACAAAUCAGUAGAGCCUUUGAUAAUGCUUACAGUGAUCUUCUGAAAGCAUUUUCGGAGCGCAAUAAGUUUGGAAAUCUUCCAUAUGGGUUUAGAGCUAACACAUGGCUCAUCCCGCCUACUGCGGCGCAGUCACCAGCAGAGUUUCCGCCUCUCCCUGUUGAGGAUGAGAGAUGGGGAGGGGAUGGUGGUGGUCAAGGGAGAGAUGGCAGUUACGAUUUGGUUCCAUGGUCCAACGAAUUUGCCUUUAUUGCAUCUAUGCCUUGCAAAACAGCUGAGGAGAGACAAGUCAGAGACAGAAAAGUGUUUCUUCUUCACAACCUCUUUGUUGAUGUCGCGACUUUCAGAGCCAUCAAGGCUGUUCAGAAAGUAAUGGCUGAGCCAGUACUUGCUGAAGAAGACUCCGAAGUUCUAUAUUCCGAGACAGUUGGAGACUUGAGUGUUACGGUUACAAGGGAUACUUCAAAUGCAAGUAGUAAAGUGGAUACAAAAAUUGAUGGAAUUCAAGCCACUGGUUUGGAUAAAAAGAAGCUGAUGGAACGGAACCUUCUCAAGGGACUUACUGCUGAUGAAAAUACUGCUGCUCAUGAUGUUGCUACUUUAGGAACUAUAAGUCUUAAGUACUGUGGUUACAUUGCUGUUGUGAAAAUAGAGAAGGAGAGUGGGGAGGUAAGCCCACCUUCUCAAAUUGUUGACCUCCUUGAACAGCCUGAAGGUGGUGCUAAUGCUCUAAAUAUCAACAGUUUGAGAUUCCUUCUCCAUAAAUCCUCUCUUGAGCAGAACAAGAAAACACCUCAGCAACAGGAUGAUGAGCUUACAUCUUCACGGGAAUUUGUUAGUAAAAUGCUGGAAGAAAGCAUUGUUAAGCUUGAGGAAGAAGAGAUAGACAGGGAUAGUAUCAUGAGAUGGGAGCUUGGGGCUUGUUGGAUACAGCAUUUACAAGACCAAAAGAAUACAGAGAAGGACAAAAAACAAACCAGUGAAAAGUCUAAGAAUGAAUUGAAGGUUGAAGGGCUUGGAAAACCGCUUAAGUCUCUCAAUAGCAGCAAGAAAAAAACAGAUGUAAAUAGCCCUAAGACGCCGGUAUCGUCUCAAGUUGAUGCGAUUUCUUCAGAGGCUGAUAUUGCUGCAACAACUGCAUCUUUGCAAUCCGAUGCUGAGAAGAAUGCUCAAGAAAAUGUGCUCAUCUUGAAGAAUUUGUUGUCUGAUGCAGCCUUCACUCGCCUAAAAGAGUCAGAUACUGGACUUCAUCACAAGUCUUUGCAAGAACUUGUCGACUUGGCACAGAAUUAUUAUACUGAAGUUGCUAUACCAAAACUGGUUGCAGAUUUUGGUUCGUUGGAGCUCUCCCCAGUCGAUGGCCGGACUCUAACUGAUUUUAUGCACACAAGAGGUCUUCGGAUGCGUUCUUUAGGAUAUGUUGUGAAGCUUUCAGAUAAAUUGUCACAUGUACAAUCUCUAUGUGUUCAUGAGAUGAUAGUAAGAGCCCUUAAGCAUAUCCUCCAGGCGGUGAUUUCUGCUGUUGCUACUGACACUGACAAAGUAGCUACAAAAGUAGCUGCUGCUUUGAACAUGAUGCUUGGGAUUCCUGAAAAUGUUGCAGCAGCACCACAUAACUCUUGGAAUGUAGAUCCUCUGAUCUUCCGGUGGUUGGAGAAAUUCUUGAAGAAACGAUAUGAUUAUGAUCUUAAUGCCUUCAGUUACAAGGAUCUACGGAAGUUUGCCAUUCUCCGUGGAUUAUGCCAUAAGGUUGGUAUUGAGUUGAUUCCAAGGGACUUUGACAUGGAUUCUCCUGCACCUUUCCGGAAAACAGAUGUGGUCAGUCUUGUCCCAGUGCAUAAGCAAGCAGCAUGUUCAUCUGCUGAUGGAAGGCAACUUCUGGAGUCAUCUAAAACAGCUUUAGACAAAGGAAAGCUUGAAGAUGCAGUUACAUAUGGAACGAAGGCUCUUGCUAAACUUGUAGCAGUUUGCGGUCCCUAUCACAGAAUGACAGCCGGAGCUUACAGUUUACUUGCUGUAGUUCUAUAUCACACUGGUGACUUUAACCAGGCUACAAUAUAUCAGCAAAAGGCUUUAGACAUCAAUGAGAGGGAACUUGGACUUGAUCAUCCAGAUACAAUGAAGAGUUAUGGUGAUCUUGCUGUCUUCUAUUAUAGGCUUCAGCAUACAGAGCUGGCUCUCAAGUAUGUUAAGCGUGCGUUGUAUCUCUUACAUCUCACAUGCGGUCCAUCUCAUCCAAACACUGCUGCUACAUACAUCAAUGUAGCCAUGAUGGAAGAAGGUCUAGGAAAUGUACACGUUGCGUUGAGGUAUCUUCACAAAGCUCUCAAGUGUAAUCAAAGGUUGCUUGGUCCGGACCAUAUCCAGACUGCUGCAAGCUACCAUGCCAUAGCAAUUGCGCUCUCGUUGAUGGAGGCAUACCAUUUAAGUGUUCAGCAUGAGCAAACAACCUUAAGAAUCCUCCGAGCAAAGCUGGGGCCAGAUGAUUUACGUACUCAAGAUGCUGCUGCUUGGCUAGAAUACUUUGAGUCCAAGGCUUUUGAACAACAAGAAGCUGCGCGAAAUGGUACUCCGAAGCCAGACGCGUCUAUAGCCAGUAAAGGCCACCUAAGUGUAUCUGAUCUACUCGACUAUAUCAACCCAAGCCAAAACGCAAAAGGGAAAGAGAGUGUUGCAGCAAAGAGGAAGAACUAUAUUAUGAAGCUAAAGGAAAAAUCCAAGCAGAGCAAUGUUUCUGACCACUUGGCAGUGGCAGACACUCCGAGAGAAAAUCAAAAGGAGAUGUCUGAGGAGGAGACGGAAGAAACUGGAUCAGAAGAAGGUAAAUCAAGCGAAGACAAUCAUGACACAAUUCUUGCACCAGUAGAAGAAUCACCUUCUCCUCCAGUCAUUGAGGAGGCUAUUAUGGAUAACAGUAAUCCAAUUACAUCUGGUGAAGUUUCGACUGAGCUACAACACCCUGAUGGUAGUGAAGAUGGAUGGCAACCGGUGCAAAGACCGAGGUCUACUGGAUCAUAUGGUCGCAGGAUGAAGCAACGACGAGCAUCCAUCGGGAAGGUAUAUACAUAUCAGAAGAAGAAUGUUGAAACUGAUAUCGAUAACCCUCUUUUCCAGAAUGCUACUAAACAGAACGGCAAAUACUACAUUCUCAAGAAGAGAACAGCAUCAUAUGCAAGCUAUGCAGAUCAUCAUUCUCCCGGUUUAACAACUCAAGGCACCAAAUUUGGCAGGAAGAUAGUUAAAACCUUGGCGUAUCGGGUUAAAUCGAUGCAGCCAUCUUCUGGUAGCACUAAGACUGCUGGUGAAACUUCAGAAGAAGAUGGGUUGAAGACAGAUGCUUCUUCUGUUGAGCCAUCUACUCUGUCUAGUACAGUGCAAAGUGAAGCCUACCACACGAAAAACUCUGUUGUAAGUCUUGGAAAAUCUCCAUCCUACAAAGAAGUAGCACUGGCACCACCUGGUUCCAUAGCCAAGUAUCAAGUCUGGGUUCCACAAGCUGAAGUUUCAGAUAAGCAAGAGGAUGAUGAGGUGGAGAAAAAAACUGAACAGGGUACAUCAAUGGAGCUUACGGGGGAUGAGAAAAUGAUAACAGGGUUAGAGGAAGAGGUAAAAAAAGAAAUUUCUGCAGACACAGAAUCUAACAGAACUCAAGGCGAAGAAGAGAUCAAAGUAGAGUUACAACCAUCUGAAGGUGUAGUAGGAGGAAACCUUUUGAAUGAAAAUGAAGAAUCUGGAGGUGGCAUUCAGGUGGAAGAACAAGUCGAACCUAAAUUGAUAGACGACCGUGUAACAGAUAUGAUUCAUUCGACCAGAGAGCAAGAAGUGAUAGAUCAAUUAGCUGCCGAUUCCGAAGAUCUGAAGGCAAAACUGUUAAUAUCUACCACAGACUCAGGCGAUGCCUCACGAGGAUUGUUACCUAACAAGAAGUUAUCUGCGUCAGCUGCUCCAUUCAACCCAUCAUCACCUCCAAGUAUUGUACGUCCUACUCCAAUAGGCAUGAACAUUGGACCGUCGUGGCCAGUGAACAUGACUCUCCAUCACGGACCUCCUCCUCCUUACCCUUCACCUCCAACAACUCCAAACUUGAUGCAGCCAAUGUCCUUUGUUUACCCACCUCCUUACACUCAAUCAGUCCCCACAAGUACUUACCCUGUAACAAGCGGUCCUUUUCAUCCCAAUCAGUUCCCAUGGCAGCUCAAUGCGUCAGAUUUUGUACCAAGAACGGUUUGGCCCGGAUGCCAUCCCGUUGAGUUUCCCCCUCCGCACAUGAUCACGGAGCCAAUAGCUGCAACUGUGUUAGAGCCAACUGUGAUUCUGCCAACGGAUAUUGACACAUCAGGGUUAGAAGAAGAAAACAAAGAAGAAGGCAGGCAAGAUGUGGCAGUUGACCAUGUGAACAACGCAGUUGCACGCAGUGAAAUGGAGAAUGGAAACCGGAAAUCCGAGGAUGGUGAGAAAACUUUCAGCAUUUUGUUAAGAGGGAGGAGAAACAGGAAACAAACACUGAGAAUGCCAAUCAGUUUGCUUAAUCGACCUUAUGAUUCUCAACCGUUCAAGCUUGGUUAUAGCAGAGUGAUCAGAGACAGCGAGGCUCCAAAGUCUGUAGCUUGAAACACUCUCCAAAGAUUCAGCCAAUUCGACGAAAUGCAAAACUCACACACACAUCUCUGAUCUUUGCUGUUUCAUAGGGACAGUAUAAAGGUAGUUUUGUUAUUAGUCAAGGGAAACUGAGGCUUGUGAUAGCCUCGAAAUGAAGUUACAAUGAUUUGGAUUUUAACCGGGAUUGGUUGUGCAGAGGGAAAAAAAGCCAAACCAUUCUUUUGUUUACCAAGUGAGGUGAUGUAUCAUUUUUCUGGGGUUUUUUUUUUUUUUAUUUUAAUUCAGCCAAUAAAACGUAGGAAAUUUUGGACAUAAUUUUUUUGGUUCUCCAUGUUUAAACGUUAGUUUUCACUUAAUUUACUUCCGUAUUUGUCAUCGAUUA